GUUAGGAAUCUUCCACAAUGGGGGCAACCCUGAUGGAGCAACAUCACGUGCUGGAUGAAGGCCUUCGGGUCGUAAACAGCUUUUGUAUACGAAGAAUAUGACGGUAAUAUACGAAUAAGGGUCGGCUAACUACGUGCCAGCAGCCGCGGUCAUACGUAGGACCCAAGCGUUAUCCGGAGUGACUGGGCGUAAAGAGUUGCGUAGGCGGCUUAUUAAGCGAGUAGUGAAAUCUGGUGGCUCAACCAUCAACACAUUGCUCGAACUGAUAGGCUUGAGAAUGGUAGAGGUAGUUGGAAUUUCUUGUGUAGGAGUGAAAUCCGUAGAUAUAAGAAGGAACACCAAUGGCGUAGGCAGACUACUGGACCAUUUCUGACGCUGAGGCACGAAAGCGUGGGGAGCGAACCGGAUUAGAAACCCCUGUAGUCC
rnacentral:rRNA from 1 species